rnacentral:lncRNA from 1 species
AUUAUGGUUUACUUCUCUCUUACUUGAUGUUCAGAUGCACUAAAUUAAAUGCUCCAAACCAACAUACCAAUCUCUCAGUCCUCACUGGAGCCAACUAAUGAUCAGUCUUUUUCCCCUUUGCCUCAUUGAUGUAACCUGCCUGACAUCUGUGGCAUGAAUCUGCAAGCCAUGCCCUAAUCCAUUUUACACCAAGUAAGUUGUACCCUCAGGAAUCCCUUAUUUCCUUAGAAACAUGCAAUAUUCUUUAGAAUAUGACAGUUGUUAACCAUCAUAUUCCUAAUCCCUCCGUUAAUGGUAACAAUCCUUGCCCCGAAGUCAUUUACUGCCUCUCUUACCAACUUUGAUCUUAUCUUUUACCACUUUCCUAGUGUCUCUGUCACUUUGUAUUGCCUUGUCAACAAUGA